CCUACGGGUGGCUGCAGUGAGGAAUAUUGGUCAAUGGGCGGGAGACUGAACCAGCCAAGCCGCGUGAGGGAGGAAGGUACAGAGUAUCGUAAACCUCUUUUGUCGGGGAACAAAGACUGGGACGCGUCCCCGGAGGUGUGUACCCGAAGAAAAAGCAUCGGCUAACUCCGUUCCAGCCGCCGCGGUAAUACGGAGGAUGCGGGCGUUAUCCGGGUUUAUUGGGUUUAAAGGGUGCGGAGGCGGUCUGUUAAGUCAGCGGUAAAAGCCCGGGGCUCAACCCCGGCCCGCCGUUGAAACUGGGGGUCUCGAGUGGGAGAGAAGUAUGCGGAAUGCGCGGUGUAGCGGUGAAAUGCAUAGAUAUCGCGCAGAACUCCGAUUGCGAAGGCAGCAUGCCGGCUCCAGACUGACGCUGAGGCACGAAAGCGUGGGUAUCGAACAGGAUUAGAUACCCUUGUAGUC
rnacentral:rRNA from 1 species